rnacentral:rRNA from 1 species
UACGUAGGGGGCUAGCGUUGUCCGGAAUCAUUGGGCGUAAAGAGCGCGUAGGCGGCCAGAUAAGUCCGGUGUGAAAGUCAAAGGCUCAACCUUUGAAUGCCGCUGGAAACUGUCUGGCUAGAGUCCGGGGAGGGGCGAGUGGAAUCCUGGUGUAGCGGUGAAAUGCGCAGAUAUCAGGAGGAACACCAAUGGCGAAGGCAGCUCGCUGGAACGGUACUGACGCUGAGGCGCGAAAGCGUGGGGGAGCAAACAGG